CCGCCGGCGCCUGUCGUGACAGGAAUGGCAGCCUGGAGCGCGGCUGCCUCACCUCUGUCGCGACAGGAGCCCCGUCUAGCGGAGGGUCAGUGAAUUUUGGGAGAAGAAUGACUAAAUUGAAGACUGUUCUACAGGUCUUUCUCCUCCAGAGUGUCACUGCAGAAGGCAGCUCUGCAUUUCCCUCAUGAUCACUUCCAUACCUUUCCGCAGAUGUGCAAGAUUGAUGUUAGUUGACCAGUGGGGAUUUCUAUGCAGGUGAUACCCUCCAAAUCAUUUUUGGCAGUUGCACAUUUAAAAAACAUUUACAGAUAUGAUAGCUU
rnacentral:lncRNA from 1 species